rnacentral:rRNA from 1 species
UACGAAGGGGGCAAGCGUUGUUCGGAAUUACUGGGCGUAAAGGGCGCGCAGGCGGCCGAUCAAGUCAGAUGUGAAAGCCCCGGGCUCAACCUGGGAAUAGCAUUUGGGACUGGUCGGCUAGAGUUCGGGAGAGGAGAGUGGAAUUCCCAGUGUAGAGGUGAAAUUCGUAGAUAUUGGGAAGAACACCGGUGGCGAAGGUGGCUCACUGGCCCGUAACUGACGCUCAUGGCACGACAGCGUGGGGAUCAAAACAGG